CCCUUAGAUGUUCUGGGCCGCACGCGCGCUACACUGACGAAUGCAACGAGCUUAUAACCUUGGCCGAAAGGUCUGGGUAAUCUCCAAAUUUCGUCGUGAUGGGGAUAGUUUAUUGCAAUUAUUAAUCUUCAACGAGGAAUGCCUAGUAAGCGCAAGUCAUCAGCUUGCGUUGAUUACGUCCCUGCCCUUUGUACACACCGCCCGUCGCUCCUACCGAUUGAAUGGUCCGGUGAAGCGUUCGGACCGUGGCCUUUGGACGGUUCGCCGUCUGUUGGCUGCGGGAAGUUCGUUAAACCUUAUCAUUUAGAGGAAGGAGAAGUCGUAACA
rnacentral:rRNA from 1 species